GAGUAAUUGAAAAAAAUUUAAUUAAAAACUAACCAACAAAAAUCCAUAUAAGCAAAGGUCAAUUUCCAUGAAAAGGGUUGGGUGUACAAGUGCAACAUAAUCAUAAUAUCCAUGGUGGAAAAUGAACACAGAUUCAUUUCAAAUAAAGGAAGGCAACUCAAUAUCUUACUGCUUAAUUAACUUCCAUUCAUUUGUUCAAGUUUUUGCUUCCUAAUGCCCUUUAUCAAACUUACUUACAGCAUGUAAGACGACCACACCAAUUAACAGCUAUUGAACAUCAGACAUUUCAUUAUAGUAUCUUGCACAGUAAAGUAUACCCAGAUAUCCAUACAUUUAUCUACAUGAAGAAAAAUAAAAAUAAAAAAAUGAAUUCUACAGACUGUCCUCCUCAUUGUUUAACCUGACCACACAAUUAUUUCCUUUAUGUGGGAACUACCUGUAGUAUAACUUGUGUGUCAUAUCAAAAGAUUACAAGCACAAAGCUUAUUUCCCGUUUCCAUACAUCUUUUGUUUCAGGAGAUUUUGGACUAAAUAGGUUAUCAUUACAGGUCUAUAUCUAUUCAUACGAGACAAACUCAUCGCCUUUUAGUGGUGGGAUCACCUUAUACAGAUUAGUUUUACAAAUAUUAUCAGUAAAUUAGAAACCUGCUUGUAUGCAUACUAGAUUAUAACAUAGAAUAAGACAUAGGACAGUGGACACCUGGUGAUAUGAUCCCCAACUUCCCAUCUGAAGAGAGCCCAAAAAUAAUGCAACAUUAUCAAAAUAACCUGAAGCCAUAUUGCAUUGGAAAAAAAACGAAAAUAAUUUGUAAUAGUGAGAAAAAUAUGACACGAUGAUUCAGUGAAAAUCAGCACCAUUAACAGUGUCGGCAUUUGACAGACAAGAAUGCUUCACUUAUAUAGACAACCCAAACAAGAAAGCAAUUAUACUGCAUCUGCAUGCACUACAUUAUUAGACUGUUCUUCCUUUUUUGCAGCAGUUCAAAGCUAAUAAUUUCUGUCUUCACACUAGUUAGAUCAUCAGCCUGACCAAAAUCUCUCUGGCAUAAUAUUUCUUGCAUCAGUACCAGCUGCCCACAGAGAGGGUAAAUGUGCUUUAAUUUAGCUCUUAAGAACCAAGGACUUCCAGGGAAGAAUACAAAAAUAAAGUGCUCAAUACCAUCAAAAAAAGUGAGAUUAUGGAAAAAGAAUUUAACGGAAAUGUUAAAAUAAAAAGAAAAAAAGCAGGAAAUUAAAAAAAAA